CCAAAAUACAUUCUUUUUAUCACUUCAGUUAACCACCUGUAAUAGCGUGUAACGUUCCUCAGGCAAUUUUCGUUGUGAACUCUGUGCAUAGAAGUGCAUAAUAAUUGAAGUAAUUGAAGUAAAUGCAAUUGCAAAUUUGUGUGCUAUAAAAAUUGUUACAUGACACAAGUGCAGUCUAUUUUGGUAUAUAAAUCUCGAAGGCAUCAACAUUAGCAUUCGACACACGUUUCCCAGAGAGUGUAUUUUUGUAUCAGUUAAAAUAAGGUGCCGUUCUCCGUUCACCAUGAUGAAUUUAAUUGUCGAUUUAUUUAAUGCAACCCUAGCAUAUAAUCCCUUCAAUUCAAUGUUCUCUGAGACAACGUUCAGUGGUUCAGAAACAACGUCUAUGCUGCAGAGUGGAUUGUUUAUGUCUUUCAUCUCGUUAUGCCACUAUUGGGAGGUUUGGAACAUAAUUCACUUCAGUUUCAUCUCUCUUACAUACAUUCACAUGCUUCUGUUGAUAUUACAAACACCGUUUCCAAGCAUAGCACCGUACCAUUUGUUUGUAUUUCAACCGCUCUGUAUAUUGUGGGGAAUCUACUACUUAAUAUCAGUUUCUAGAGAGGAAAAGAACAAAAAGCGUCGCCGUCGCCGUCGACAGAAUCGAAGUGCCAACAAUACUAAAAGUGAAUUUAUAUAUUGUCGUAACAUUGGAAUGCAAACAACUUAAAUACUUUUUACGUGCUACAGCAAUGUGAAUGUCGCUUUGCUCAUGCGAAAUGUACAUUUACAUUGCUUAAUCACUUAAAAUACAGUACGUCCAUGCUUCCA